rnacentral:miRNA from 12 species
UGCUUCACCUGCGGAGCCUGCUGAGAGUGAAAUUGAUAAAGUGCGGUACCAGCUCAGGCAAUUUCACUCACAGCGGGCACUUGCAGGUGAAGCA